rnacentral:rRNA from 1 species
CCUACGGGGGGCAGCAGUAGGGAAUCUUCCGCAAUGGACGAAAGUCUGACGGAGCAACGCCGCGUGAGCGAAGAAGGUCUUCGGAUCGUAAAGCUCUGUGGUUAGGGAAGAACAAGUACGGGAGGAAAUGACCGUACCUUGACGGUACCUGACGAGGAAGCCACGGCUAACGACGUGCCAGCAGCCUCUGUAAGACGGAGGUGGCAAGCGUUGUCCGGAAUUAUUGGGCGUAAAGCGCGCGCAGGCGGUUUUUUAAGUCUGAUGUGAAAUCUUGCGGCUCAACCGCAAGCGGUCAUUGGGAGCUGGGAGACUAGAGUGCUCAAGAGGAUAGCGGAUUUCCGCGGGGAGCGGUGAAAUGGGUAGGGAUGUGGAUGAGCACCAGUGGAGAAGGCGGCUUUCUGGUCUGUAAGUGACGGUGAGGCUCGAAAGCGUGGUGAGCAGAAGGGAUUAGAUACCCUAGUAGUC